UACAGAGGUGGCAAGCGUUGUUCGGAAUUACUGGGCGUAAAGGGCGCGUAGGCGGCCAACUAAGUCAGACGUGAAAUCCCUCGGCUUAACCGGGGAACUGCGUCUGAUACUGGAUGGCUGGAGUUUGGGAGAGGGAUGCGGAAUUCCAGGUGUAGCGGUGAAAUGCGUAGAUAUCUGGAGGAACACCGGUGGCGAAGGCGGCAUCCUGGACCAAUACUGACGCUGAGGAGCGAAAGCCAGGGGAGCAAACGGG
rnacentral:rRNA from 1 species